AGUGAACGCUGGCGGUAGGCCUAACACAUGCAAGUCGAACGGCAGCACAGGAGAGCUUGCUCUCUGGGUGGCGAGUGGCGGACGGGUGAGGAAUGCAUCGGAAUCUACUCUGUCGUGGGGGAUAACGUAGGGAAACUUACGCUAAUACCGCAUACGACCUACGGGUGAAAGCAGGGGAUCUUCGGACCUCGCGCGAUUGAAUGAGCCGAUGUCGGAUUAGCUAGUUGGCGGGGUAAAGGCCCACCAAGGCGACGAUCCGUAGCUGGUCUGAGAGGAUGAUCAGCCACACUGGAACUGAGACACGGUCCAGACUCCUACGGGAGGCAGCAGUGGGGAAUAUUGGACAAUGGGCGCAAGCCUGAUCCAGCCAUACCGCGUGGGUGAAGAAGGCCUUCGGGUUGUAAAGCCCUUUUGUUGGGAAAGAAAUCCAGCUGGUUAAUACCCGGUUGGGAUGACGGUACCCAAAGAAUAAGCACCGGCUAACUUCGUGCCAGCAGCCGCGGUAA
rnacentral:rRNA from 1 species